rnacentral:rRNA from 1 species
GAUGAACGCUGGCGGCGUGCCUAAUACAUGCAAGUCGAGCGAACAGACGAGGAGCUUGCUCCUCUUACGUUAGCGGCGGACGGGUGAGUAACACGUGGAUAACCUACCUAUAAGACUGGGAUAACGUCGGGAAACCGGAGCUAAUACCGGAUCAUAUAUUGAACCGCAUGGUUCAAUAGUGAAAGACGGUUUUGCUGUCACUUAUAGAUGGAUCCGGGUCGCAUUAGCUAGUUGGUAAGGUAACGGCCUACCAAGGCGACGAUGCGUAGCCGACCUGAGAGGAUGAUCGGCCACACUGGAACUGAGACACGGUCCAGACUCCUACGGGAGGCAGCAGUAGGGAAUCUUCCGCAAUGGGCGAAAGCCUGACGGAGCAACGCCGCGUGUGUGAUGAAGGUCUUCGGAUCGUAAAACUCUGUUAUUAGGGAAGAACAAAUGUGUAAGUAACUAUGCACGUCUUGACGGUACCUAAUCAGAAAGCCACGGCUAACUACGUG